rnacentral:misc_RNA from 1 species
GAUGAAGAACGUAGCGAAAUGCGAUACGUAAUGUGAAUUGCAAAUUCAGUGAAUCAUCGAAUCUUUGAACGCACAUUGCGCCCACUGGUAUUCCGGUGGGCAUGCCUGUUCGAGCGUCAUUAUCCUCCCUCAAACCCCGGGUUUGGUGUUGGACCCAAGUUGUGUGAACAACUGGUCUCAAAGACAAUGACGGCGUCCGUGGGACCCUCGGUGCAACGAGCUUUUAGGAGCACGCAUCGAGUUGCAAGGACCUUCCGGGCCGGUCUCCUUUACCAUUUUACAAGGUUGACCUCGGAUCAGGUAGGAAUACCCGCUGAACUUAAGCAUAUCAAUAAGCGGAGGA